AAACCAACAGGGAUUUCGUUAGUAGCGGCGAGUGAAGCGGCAAAAAGCUAAAAUUUGAAAUCUGGCACCUUCGGUGUCCGAGUUGUAAUUUGAAGAUUGUAACCUUGGGGUUGGCUCUUGUCUAUGUUUCUUGGAACAGGACGUCACAGAGGGUGAGAAUCCCGUGCGAUGAGAUGCCCAAUCCUAUGUAAGGUGCUUUCGAAGAGUCGAGUUGUUUGGGAAUGCAGCUCUAAGUGGGUGGUAAAUUCCAUCUAAAGCUAAAUAUUGGCGAGAGACCGAUAGCGAACAAGUACAGUGAUGGAAAGAUGAAAAGAACUUUGAAAAGAGAGUGAAAAAGUACGUGAAAUUGUUGAAAGGGAAGGGUUUGAGAUCAGACUCGAUAUUUUGUGAGCCUUGCCUUCGUGGCGGGGUGACCCGCAGCUUAUCGGGCCAGCAUCGGUUUGGGCGGUAGGAUAAUGGCGUAGGAAUGUGACUUUGCUUCGGUGAAGUGUUAUAGCCUGCGUUGAUGCUGCCUGCCUAGACCGAGGACUGCGAUUUUAUCAAGGAUGCUGGCAUAA
rnacentral:rRNA from 1 species